rnacentral:lncRNA from 1 species
ACCACGGUCCGGGGGACAAGGGGCUGGUCUCGAUAUCCCGGAGCGGUGGUAGGUGUCCCAGGGCGCCCACAAUCCGGCUGAUAUCCGUGGGUAGGUCGCUUCCGCCGAGCCGGGGCCCGGCUUGGCUGGCGGUCGUCAGGGCCCACGGUUGGAAGGCGGGGUGGGUGAGCAGCAUAUAGGCGGAGAGCGUCCGGACCCAGGGAUGGAGACUACCAUCUGCCCUCCCGUGUCCCCCGGUACCACCUGUGGUUCCUGCAGCUCCACCUGUCCCUGGCCCACAUGACGCGUUAGAUAGCCCGAGGGCCGCUAUGAUGAAGCGCACAGCCCAUACCGCAUGCCGAGCCUGGAUGUGUUGCUGGAGGGGCAGCAGGCCAAAGCCUCCAGCCGACGGGUGGCCGGUCAAGAGAUCCUUAGGCACCCCUGUCAAACGGCGGCCGGGGUCUUCUGGGCCCUGCUGCCGGUCGACGAGGCGGGCCGUUAGGCGUUCUAUUUCGUCCAGCGUACGGUUGGGGGGCGGCCCACCAUGCUCCAUGUGCCAGGUGACUGUCUGCAUUCCGUACACCGAUGCCGCUGUGGCUCGACCGAAUGCUGAUAGCGGGAAGCGGGAGAGCCGCUGCAGUCGCCGCUUGGCUUCCCCGAGUCUCUUCAUCCAGUCGGGCUGUGGCGGGGAUGGCUGGUUGUCAAUUGGCAGGUUCAGGGCGGUGGCGGUGGUCACCACCUUGAGACCUCCUAUUGACUCCUGCUGAGGGGCAGCUGAUUGGGGUCCGGCCUGGGUUGCAGGUUGCGNNNNNNNNNNNNNNNNNNNNNNNNNNNNNNNNNNNNNNNNNNNNNNNNNNNNNNNNNNNNNNNNNNNNNNNNNNNNNNNNNNNNNNNNNNACCUGCCCCGUCAAGCNUAUGGCGGUGAGCAGGCCAGCCAUGGUGGUGCCAAUGGCCGACCAGAAUUUCCUGUAGAUGUCGGCUGGGAUGCCGUCCCACCCCGGGGCCUUGCCAGGCUGGCUUUUCUUAAGAGCCUUUCGUAACUCGGUGGCCGUGAUGGUUCUGGAUCCCAGCUGUUCAUCUGCCUCUGCGGGUAGCGAGAUGUUGGCGGCCGCCAGGGAGUUUAGCACCUCCUGCUGGGCUUGGGGGCAGAUGUAGUUGGGAGCUCGGCUCACUUCACUCCAGAAGUCUGCGACCACCUGGGGAAGCUGGCUAGGAUUAGUCACUAGGCGGCCGGACUGGGCUUGCAGGGCGACGGGAGCUGGUUGUUGGUCCGCGCUUUGGGCCUGGAUGAACGCAGUCAUGGCUGGGCUCGGCCGCUCCCCUGCCCGUAGCCAGUGUAUGCGGGCCUCCAUCGCCUCCUUGCUGCAGUCCUCUCGGUGGGCCCGUGCUAGUGCCGCCUGUGCGUCCACCAGUUGCUGUAAGGGCUGCUGUGCUCCGGGUUCUGUGUCGACCCUUUGUCGGGCCUGCUGGACUGCUGGUAGGGCUGCUUGUACACGGGCUCCUGGGCGCAGCCUGCGAUGUUGCGCUGUUUUGUUGAGCUGAUGUGCACGAGUAGCGAGGCGGCGUUUGAAGGCAGGCCACCACUCGAUCAGGCCAGCAGGAUUGUCCUCCACAGAUGGGGCCGCGGCACACUGGUCGGUAAUCCAGGCCUCUCGGUAAGGGCUCUAGUCGCAGUAUGGUUAUAGCGGCUAAGUUAUGCCCAUUUUUAUGUAUGUAUGUAUGUAUGUAUGUAUGUAUGUAUGUAUGUAUGUAUGUAUGUAUGUAUGUAUGUAUGUAUGUAUGUAUGUAUGUAUGUAUGUAUGUAUGUAUGUAUGUAUGUAUGUAUGUAUGUAUGUAUGUAUGUAUGUAUGUAUGUAUGUAUGUAUGUAUGUAUGUAUGUAUGUAUGUAUGUAUGUAUGUAUGUAUGUAUGUAUGUAUGUAUGUAUGUAUGACGUUGAUUACACUGUGGGCUGAAAAGCCGGGGGCCCAGGGCCGAAGCACAGCGCGGGGGGCGGGUGCAUACGGCUGGUUAGUCUCAUGCACUCCGCCCCCGGGUCAGGCCGCACGGGAAACGACGGCCGGCACGCAACAGCGCUUGUUUGGCGCUCCAACUAGACGGGAUCUAUGCCCGUUGGUCUCCUAACAUAAACGAAGUCGCAACUGGGGGGCUCUUCCUGCCGACCGAACGAACCGAGCAUCUCAGAGAGCUCGCAACCAGGACCUGGGCGACCGGGAGCCCGACGAGUCAUCCCGGGCUGGGGAGGUCAUCCCGGGCUGGGGGGGUCAGUAGUGCCUGACCUAGGUAUAGUGUGCUGUAUGCAUGAAGGGAUGGGGGGGUGGACUUAUGGAUUUAUGGACAUGAACUAUGGACGUGUACUAAGGUGUAUUUCUGUACACAACAGAUUGAAUGACGUUUCCCCCCACCACUGCCGUACUGCCGUACAGGUCCCUGAAGAUGGAGGCGUUGCCGCCUUUCAUGGCCUUCCGCAUCCGCCGCAUCAUGCGGGAGGGUGUGCCGUACUGCAAGGUGUGUUUUGUGUGGCCCGUCGUCCCCUCCUGCAUGCUCCCUAUACCGCCUGCCUCGUUCCCCACACCCGCACCUCUCCAAAGCCCCUUUAGUCAUCAGUGUACGGCAUUCACGUAGCCGAUUCCCCCCCACCUCUGAUGAUCUCAAUCAUCAUUAUCAUCAUCGUCGUCAUCAUCACCAUCAUCAUACAUCAUCAUCAUACAUCAUAUUUAUAUUAUUAUCACCAUCAUCAGCAUCGUCAUCAUUACCAUCAUUAACAUUAUCACCAUCAUUAUCGUCAUCGUCAUCAUCAUUGUUCAAUCCCCCCCCCUUCCCCCGCAUUUCCCCAACCCCCCCCCCCCGUCACAUACAUCCGGAAUGUGUCAUCAGUCCACCGUCCAUUGACUAGGGGCACUAUUACCUUCAAUCAUUGGGAGGAUUUCCGACCCUGACAGGGGACCAAAAAUCCUCAUGCAAAAAAAGAGCGCAAAGAGCUCACACCACAAGACGCCAAACAGCCUCCUGAGACUACUACUCUCCUCCGCCUCUCCCUCCCUGGGCUAGUCCAGGGGAGAUAGCCCCCGUCGGGGGGGUAACACCGCACAAGUCCGCGCCCUUCCACAGCACUGGGUCUAACUUGAAAAGUACUCAAACGGGAAGACCCUGCGGCAACGCAGGGCGAUCAAGCCUCCGGAAACCACAGGGGGGGAGGGUAGCCAGCUCGGCGCCCCCCCAAUACCGCUCUACCAAGACGGCUGGUUCCCAAGAACCUAUCUCACCUAGACGCCGCAACACGAAAAACCCGGUCUCGUACCCUGAAAAACCUAGUCCUGCACCACGCGCGCACCUUCGAGUACGGCCCCUCCUUCUGGGUGCCCACCUCCCCCUCAUCCGCGCCCUCGCNNNNNNNNNNNNNNNNNNNNNNNNNNNNNNNNNNNNNNNNNNNNNNNNNNGACACCCUAUCCCCUUAUCCCCUAAACUCCAGCUCCCGCCGCGUCCGCUUGACCAUUAGGUCGUGAUGUCCACCGCCUCCGCGCAGCACAGUGCUCCCCCGACGAUUGACAGGAUCGGGUGGUGGGGUCCCCCUCCGUCCCAGCCCCGCCUUGGGACAUUGAGCGCGGUGAAAGAGCGCAAGCGCGCCCAGAAGUCCACUACUGCCCGAGCGCGGGCGUAUUCCAGGGGGGUUGCUGCUGCUGUUGCUGCUGCUGCUGCUGUUGCUGCUGCUGUUGCCGUCCCCGGUCCCGCGCUGGGCCCCUGCGUCUGAUCCUCGAGUACCGGCGCGUUCAGCGGCGGCCCCUCGUGCGGUCUCACUCCGUUGGCCAGGUGAAAGAAGUCCGUUAUCCGCCGCUGUUGGGGUCCUUGCGCCUGGAUCUGUUGCACUUGCUCUGGCUGUUCUGUCGCGGGGUUAGCCGCCCUUUCCAGUCGUCUUCCGGCUGCUCGCAGGCAGCACCUGCCUACCUCCAUAGCAGACAGGGCCGCCAGGGCGAUCACAUCCCAGGGGGCCUGCUCGCAGCCGGUUGGGGCUUGGACCAACCACAGCUGCUUCCGGGUGAUGCCGCCUGUCGCUGCCUCCUGGGAGGGCUGUAUGUGUCGGUCAAUCUGCUCCCGGACAGCUUGUGCGACGGGGCACUCCCAGAAGUGGUGCAUGCGUGGGGAGCAGUGCUGGUUGCUGGCGUUGCCGAACCCUCCACACCCACAGCGCUCAGGCACCAUGCGGGCCAGGUGCGUGUUGCCGGGCAGGGGGAUGCCGUCCACGGCGAGCCGCCACAGCGUUUCUUUGUUCUCGUUCUCCCACCGCACCCCCGACCACAAGCGGGCUUGCGUCGCCCUGAAGCGGCUUGUUUCCGCUGAGGAGGAAGGUGCCGUUUCCUGCGGGUCCAACGCUUCUUGCACAAAUGCUGCCAUCAAGCGUCCCCGUUUCUCCUCGGUGGCCCCGCAUUGCAGCUGUGUCGCUAGGCGGACCGUCAGGCGUGUGAGUGGGACGGUUGUUGUGCCGCCCGGUAUCUGCCAUCCGACCCGCUUUAGGAUCAUAGCCAUCGCCUGAGUGCUGUUGGGGGUGCUUGGAGCCGCCAUGUCCCCCGCCGUUGGCAUCUCUGGCUGCUGCUGUUGGGGUUGCUGCUCAUGCGGCUGCGUCUGUAGCUGUGGCUGCGGCUGUUGCUGCUGUUGCAGCUGCGGCUGAUGCUGUGUCUGUAGCUGUGGUUNNNNNNNNNNNNNNNNNNNNNNNNNNNNNNNNNNNNNNNNNNNNNNNNNNGCGCCCUCGCUACGGCCACCUGUUUCCACUCACCACCCCUCAACCCUACAUCCUCUUGGUGCUCUCUCUGCCUCUUCCCCUCCCCCCCCGGCUCUCCCCGCCCUUUCCCCGGUCUCCCCCCCCUCCGCCGGUACGGCUCCCCCAGGCAAAUAAACCCUCCCUCCCCCAUGUCCCCUUGCGCGGCACCCCCCCAAGCCCCAUCCCUGAUCCCGCCCCCCUCGCAACCUUUCCCCUCAACCUCCCUCUCGACCUCCCUACCACCCACACCACCUCAAAUCCCCCCUCCGCGCCUCGACACCCUAUCCCCUUAUCCCCUAAACUCCAGCUCCCGCCGCGUCCGCUUGACCAUUAGGUCGUGAUGUCCACCGCCUCCGCGCAGCACAGUGCUCCCCCGACGAUUGACAGGAUCGGGUGGUGGGGUCCCCCUCCGUCCCAGCCCCGCCUUGGGACAUUGAGCGCGGUGAAAGAGCGCAAGCGCGCCCAGAAGUCCACUACUGCCCGAGCGCGGGCGUAUUCCAGGGGGGUUGCUGCUGCUGUUGCUGUUGCUGCUGCUGUUGCUGCUGCUGUUGCCGUCCCCGGUCCCGCGAUGGGCCCCUGCGUCUGAUCCUCGAGUACCGGCGCGUUCAGCGGCGGCCCCUCGUGCGGUCUCACUCCGUUGGCCAGGUGAAAGAAGUCCGUUAUCCGCCGCUGUUGGGGUCCUUGCGCCUGGAUCUGUUGCACUUGCUCUGGCUGUUCUGUCGCGGGGUUAGCCGCCCUUUCCAGUCGUCUUCCGGCUGCUCGCAGGCAGCACCUGCCUACCUCCAUAGCAGACAGGGCCGCCAGGGCGAUCACAUCCCAGGGGGCCUGCUCGCAGCCGGUCGGGGCUUGGACCAACCACAGCUGCUUCCGGGUGAUGCCGCCUGUCGCUGCCUCCUGGGAGGGCUGUAUGUGUCGGUCAAUUUGCUCCCGGACAGCUUGUGCGACGGGGCACUCCCAGAAGUGGUGCAUGCGUGGGGAGCAGUGCUGGUUGCUGGCGUUGCCGAACCCUCCACACCCACAGCGCUCAGGCACCAUGCGGGCCAGGUGCGUGUUGCCGGGCAGGGGGAUGCCGUCCACAGCGAGCCGCCACAGCGUUUCUUUGUUCUCGUUCUCCCACCGCACCCCCGACCACAAGCGGGCUUGUGUCGCCCUGAAGCGGCUUGUUUCCGCUGAGGAGGAAGGUGCCGUUUCCUGCGGGUCCAACGCUUCUUGCACAAAUGCUGCCAUCAAGCGUCCCCGUUUCUCCUCGGUGGCCCCACAUUGCAGCUGUGUCGCUAGGCGGACCGUCAGGCGUGUGAGUGGGACGGUUGUUGUGCCGCCCGGUAUCUGCCAUCCGACCCGCUUUAGGAUCAUAGCCAUCGCCUGAGUGCUGUUGGGGGUGCUUGGAGCCGCCAUGUCCCCCGCCGUUGGCAUCUCUGGCUGCUGCUGUUGGGGUUGCUGCUCAUGCGGCUGCGUCUGUAGCUGUGGCUGCGUAUGUAUGUACGUAUGUAUGUAUGUAUGUAUGUAUGUAUGUAUGUAUGUAUGUAUGUAUGUAUGUAUGUAUGUAUGUAUGUAUGUAUGUAUGUAUGUAUGUAUGUAUGUAUGUAUGUAUGUAUGUAUGUAUGUAUGUAUGUAUGUAUGUAUGACGUUGAUUANNNNNNNNNNNNNNNNNNNNNNNNNNNNNNNNNNNNNNNNNNNNNNNNNNCACUGCUCUUGCAGCUUCGAGCCAGGCCGGGUUGAUAGCGCCAUGUAGCGUCUUAAGGGCUGCCAGGGUCGCUGACCUGUCCCGCGUGGGUGCUGGGGUUGAUGGGUCGAGGUGUGUCCUGACCCAUUCGGGCCAGGUCGACCUGGGGAGGGAGGCCACUCGAGUAUGCACCACUAGGUCCCAGACCCGCACUAGGUCGCCCACCGUUUGCAGUUUCCUGCAUGUAGCGAUCCCCACGAAGUGCGUCUCCAGGCCCGGGCGGCGGUUCAAACUGUCUGGGUCUGCCUCGCCGGUAUUGGGGAGCAACGGGUUACCCCACAACGCGGUUGCCCAGCACCACGGUCCGGGGGACAGGGGGCUGGUCUCGAUAUCCCGGAGCGGUGGUAGGUGUCCCAGGGCACCCACAAUCCGGCUGAUAUCCGUGGGUAGGUCGCUUCCGCCGAGUCGGGGCCCGGCUUGGCUGGCGGUCGUCAGGGCCCACGGUUGGAAGGCGGGGUGGGUGAGCAGCAUAUAGGCGGAGAGCGUCCGGACCCAGGGAUGGAGGCCACCAUCUGCCCUCCCGUGCCCCCCGGUACCACCUGUGGUUCCUGCAGCUCCACCUGUCCCUGGCCCACAUGACGCGUUAGAUAGCCCGAG